rnacentral:lncRNA from 1 species
CCAAGAUAAAAGAAACUGUUCAGUAGAACAAAAUGUUUAUCUUUGUUACAUUCAUGUCAUCUUGGGUUUUGUUAUUUUUAUGUUUUUGUUUGUUUGUUUCUUUGUUUUUUUGAGACAGACUCUUACUCUGUCGCGCAGGCUGAGUACAGCGGCGCAGUCUCGGCUCACUGCAACCUCCGCCUCCUGGGUUCAAGUGAUUCUUCCACCUCAGCCUCCUGAGUAGUUGGGAUUAUAGGCAAGUUUUGUUAUUUUUUUAAUCGUGAUUUAAGACUUUGUAAUACAGCAAUUUGAAAACCUGAUUUCAAGUCUAGUUUACUUAAAUUUUUUUUUUUUUAAGAGACGAGGUUGUUCUGUCACCCAGGCUGGAGUGUAGUGGUGCAAUUAUAGAUCACUGUAGCCUCGAACUCCUGGGCUCAAGUGAUUCUCCCAUCUCAGCCUCCCUCAUAACUGAGAAUACAGUUGUGCAUCGCCACACCAGCUACCUUCUUGGGUUUUGUGCUGUUGUAAUGGAAAAAGUCAUAACGCAAAAAUACAUAUAUCUAAAUGAAAGAAGUCUAUUUUGGAGGUGCUUUUCAUUAGGGACAUGAGCAUAUGCAAAUUGGAAACUGACAAGGUUGAAGGUAGGGAUUUCACAGGUGCUUCCUUCCUUCUCUCCCAUCUCCUCCAUCUCCUCCUCCUACCCUUCCUGCCAAGGAUCUUUGUACCCCUCUAAAUCGUGUUACAUAAACAAGUAACUGUGACCCAUGUUCAAACAGUUCCUCCAAAGACCCUAUUUCUCUGUAACACAAUGAGUUAAUGUUUAUAUUUAACUCUUAAUAAAGACCUAAAUUUUUUGAAAACUCAUAAAUGAAUGGAAAAUAUAUACCAGUGUCUUUGUUUUGGUUAGGCAGUCUUAGGAGCUUGGAGCUUCAGACCGCUAGAGCCAUGGUUCUCAAAUUCUUGAUGAAUAUGGCCCCUUUCCAUGGAACACAGCAUCUUAGUGAUUGGAACUAACAAAAGACACUGCAAAAAGUUUUCAAAAUGAAUUAUUAAAGUGCAUCUGUAUCUCUGUAAUAAUUGAGUAAUAGUAAUACAUGCAUGUGAUAUAUUUCUGUGUUUCUUUCAAUUUUUUUUUUAGAGAUGGGGUCUUGCUAUGUUGCCCAGGCUCGUCUUGAACUUCUGGACUCAAGCUAUCUUCCUGCCUCUGUCUCCCAAGAGGCUGGGAUUACAGGCACAUGCCACUGUGUCUGGCUUGUAUGUGAUAUAUUUCAUCAAUCCUCAGAUAAGACUUGGGAUACUUAGGGAUUAGGCAACCCUGGCAACCACUCCACAACCCUAGACCAUAACCAAGAUGCCUUGAAGACACUCCCCUAGUGGGAGGGAAAGGACUUAGGAAUGAAUAUCCAGACCUCUUAGUGAUUGUUUUGAAAACUCAAACCUAUUACUUGGUGACCAACCUUAUACUAACCUAAGAGCCAUAUGCUAAGGCAGGCAUGGUGAAAUUGUCAAUCUUUUUCUAGCUCCAGUCUGCAUGACGAUUGAUGCUUGUGACCUCCUAGGGCAAAAAGUGAAAUGAGGAGAGAAAAUGAAGAGAUGCAGAUAAAAUGCUUACACAGUAAAAGACCCAUCUGCGGGGUAACUGAGGCGCAAGGAUGUCCGCUAGUGCAGUGCUUCUAAACUUAAACCUACAUGGAAAAUACCUGUGUAUCUUGAUAAAAUGCAGAUUAUGACUCAACAGAUCUGGGCUGGGGCCUGACAUUCUGCAUUUCUAGAAGCUCCCAGGAGAUGCAGACGCUGCUAGUCCAAGACCAUAUGCCCUGAGUAAGGAGGCCCUAUCCCGUGUGCAUUCUCAACUGGGAGUCCAGUCUUCCUUGAGCCUGUCUCCUUUUGCUGACAGCAACCAACGGGUGUGAGAUCUAAGCAGAGGCUGGCUUUGUUUCUUUCAGUCUCAUCCUCUCUGGGGACGGACGGAGCAGUCAAGCCAAGGAGGAGCGGUUCUCGUGGGUCCCACAGCGCCCCCCGCUGGCAGGAGGACACUCCAACGGGAGACCAGUCUUAGGGUAGAGGCGCAGCUGAGUUUCUGGCUGAAGAUGAGGGCUGGAAGCAGGUGAAGCCAGGGAAGCAGCCCCUCGGCAUGGGCUGUUGGCACCUAGCACGCCCACUGAGGCUCCUCAUGGAACGGAAGUCCCUCUGUGACUGGAGCUACCAGUGUCACAGCUGUAGCAGGGACAAGCGGCUCAGGAGUGCCCAGUAGGGCUGGUUCCAGCAGAAUCUGCACCUGUAAGGCCCUCUGUGGAUUGGACGACGCCCAGCCAUG